rnacentral:rRNA from 1 species
CCUACGGGAGGCUGCAGUGAGGAAUAUUGGUCAAUGGACGAGAGUCUGAACCAGCCAAGUAGCGUGAAGGAUGACUGCCCUAUGGGUUGUAAACUUCUUUUAUAUGGGAAUAAAACAGGGUAUGCAUACCCUCUUGUAUGUACCAUAUGAAUAAGGAUCGGCUAACUCCGUGCCAGCAGCCGCGGUAAUACGGAGGAUCCGAGCGUUAUCCGGAUUUAUUGGGUUUAAAGGGAGCGUAGGUGGAUUGUUAAGUCAGUUGUGAAAGUUUGCGGCUCAACCGUAAAAUUGCAGUUGAAACUGGCAGUCGUGAGUACAGUAGAGGUGGGCGGAAUUGGUGGUGUAGCGGUGAAAUGCUUAGAUAUCACGAAGAACUCCGAUUGCGAAGGCAGCUCACUGGACUGCAACUGACACUGAUGCUCGAAAGUGUGGGUAUCAAACAGGAUUAGAUACCCCUGUAGUC